rnacentral:lncRNA from 1 species
CAGUUUACUACUAAUCAUUAAAUAUCUAUAGUAUAAAGACUACUUUUUCUCUCUCUCACUCCAUACGGUUGCCGAGUUAACUCUUCUCAUUUGAAAUUAACUCAUUUCUCUCUCUCCAAAACCAAACGAAGCCCUAAUAGAAGAAGAAAACUCUGCCGGACGGUGCUGCUCAUAUGCACACAAGGAUUGCAAAAUAACGGGCGACGGCUGAAAAUUAUUUUUCUGGUGAGUGCUGAAACCCUCAAACAAGGGACGGAAACUCUUUUUACUGUUCAAUAAUCAAUACAAGCCCAUGGAAUAGUUUGGAUCUCCUUCUUUCUCGGCUAAUUGAAAGUAAUUUGUAGAGUAUGAAACUAUGAAUGACAAUUGCCAGAUAUAAUUAUGAAAUUGUUAGUUUCUGUUUUUCAUCUUCAAACUUGGCCUAAAUUUCCCCUUUUUGCUCAAUUUAAACAAAAAAAAAAAAAAAAAAAAAACGCUACUACUAAACCCUAAAUGGAAGUGAAGAAAGAAAUCAAGAAAUAGGGGUGAUUUGAUUCAAGGUGUUUCAAGUUCAAAUUGUUAAUUAGUGCGGGAACUAAAGAGUCAUAAAAUAAUUUGUUGCUUUUUAAUCAAAGGAUAUCAAUCAGGUAACAUAUAUAGACUGCAAAAGAUGCAAAUCAGUGUCUUUCUUUGUGUGCUCAUGUCCGCAUGUGACAGAGAGAGAGUACCUGUAAUCUGAUGGAUUAUACUUUACUUUAUUGUUGAUUUGAUUUCAUAGGUAUUUUUUCCCCAUUAUUUUUCUUUGUUUCCUUUUUAGUUUUUUGGUAAGGGAUAAUUUGAUAAUUAGGUUGAUGUGAAAUGGGUUUUGAUUGUUUUUGUUAUUUAAGUAGUUUUUUUACGAUUAUUUAAUUCAAAAUGAAUCUUCAUAUUUAUUGGAAAGUAUGGGGAUGAACGAAAUCUUGAUUUACUUGUUAAUUUACUCUCUUAUUUGGAUAAAUUGGUUUCGUUUGUUCAUAUUUUGUCUCCUCGUAUUUUUAAAGUUAAAAAAAAAAAAAAAAAAAAGGUAACAUCGCUGCAUUCUUUUAUGUGUUUAAGAUAGGAGGUAUAAUUUUUUGGGAAAAAGCUACAUCUAUUAAUUUGAUGGAAAUCCAACAAAAGAGUUCAAAUUUAUUUUACUAUUAUGUGGAAUUAGAUAUGUUUAAAAAAUAUGGCCUUUACUAUAAUUAUUUAGAAUCCCUGGUAUUAGAAGCUUUCCAAACCUUUUAAAAUUGAUGUUUACCUUCUGGACAGGGUCUAUCGUCUAGAUGUUUAUCAUGUUAUUAUCUCCCUAUACCUUAAAAGACACUUACCAAUAGUUACUGUUCUUAGUUGAGUUCCACAUUUUCACACUUAACUUUUUGGAACUGGUUUGGCAAUUUCGAUGGGAUGGUAGUUAUUGUUGAUGAGCCCAAAAGUUUUUUGUAUCAGUCAUUCGAUUUUUCAGACUUGAAACUCAUUUCACAGGAAUUUUUUCUUCAUCAACUUGCAUAUUUUUGCAUCCAUAUGCUCCCAGAUUAUUAUACAUAUGUUUUCAUUCAUGUUUAGAAAAUCUUAAGCCGUUUGGAUGACUCAAAGAUUAAAUAUUCAUUCUAUGAAUUAUAAUUAUUUAACAAUUAAUUGAUUUAUCUCAGUUUAAUUCAUGCAUGACUCUUUACUUAGGAAAUGAAAAGUUGGGUUUAAGAAAUAUUUUUUAAUGUAGAGGUUUCUUCCCAUGAUUUUUUUUAUUUAAAGAAAAUUCCUAAUUUUUGGCAGAGUUUUAGUUUAGUUCUCAAUUUAUUUGAUUGAGAUGAAGAAAUUAAGUGAAAUUCUAAAGGGAAAUGAAAUGUUGGGAUUUAAGAAGGUUUGGUGUUUUGAUGGGAUUGAUGAAAUUAAUCGGAGUUCUGAGACAAUGGGUGGUGGAAAAUGGAGUGUGAUUUCCCUAUACCUUAAAAGACACUUACCAAUAGUUACUGUUCAUAGUUGAGUUCACGUUUUCACUCUUAACUUUUUGAAACUGGUUCGGCAAUUUCGAUGGGCUGGUAGUUACUGUUGAUGAGCCCAAAAGUUUUUUGUAUCAGUCAUUCAAUUUUUCAAACUUGAAACUCAUUUCACACAAAUUUUUUCUUCAUCAUCUUGCAUGUUUUUGCAUCCAUAUGCUCCCAAAUUAUUAUACAUAUGUUUUCAUUCAUGUUCAGAAAAUCUUAAGCCGUUUGGAUGACUCAAAAAUUAAAUAUUCAUUCUAUGAAUUAUAUCUAUUUAACAAUUAAUUGAUUUAUCUAAGUUUAAUUCAUGCAUGAUUCUUUACAUAGGAAAUGAAAAAUUGGGUUUAGGAAAUAUUUUCUAAUGUAGAGGUUUCUUCUCAUGAUUUUUUUUUUUGAUUUAAAGAAAUUCCUAAUUUUAGGCAGAGUUUUAUUUUAGUUCUCAAUUUAUUUGAUUGAGAUGAAGAAAGUAAGUGAAAUUCUGAAGGGGAAAUGAAAUGUUGGGAUUUAAGAAAGUUAGGUGUUUUGAUGGGAUUGAUGAAAAUUAUCGAAGUUUUGAGACAAUGGGUGGUGGAAAAGAGAGUGUGAUAUUAAAAAUAGAGAAGUAGGUGUUGGAGCAAUGAAUCAAAAUGAUUUCUUUGUUGGGAAUGAAGUUUCUCAUAGUUUUGUAGUGGAUUCAUGUCUUCUUCACGUGAAUGAUCAGAACAAAUGGGACUUUGAUUUUAAUGACGGGAAAGAAGAAAGUAGGUUGGAUUUUGAUAAUAAUGUGCCCAGUGUGCCGAACUUUGACAUGAAAGAUGGUGGAAUGGAAAUAAUCUAUCAAGGAUAAACACAACAACAACCGUGAACAUUGAGAGGAGAGUGGAAAUUAUUGACAUUACGUCAAUGAGAGGAAAUGAUGUGGAAAUAAUGGCUUAUAAAAAUGAUGAUAUAGGAAAGGGUAAGCAAAUUGAGGUUGAGAUGUUACGUGAUAAUACAGAAAGUUUGAACGUUGCUGUGGCAUACUCUUCUCAUUAUGUAGGAUUAGGUGUAUCUGUUCAAUAUGCGUGCUAGAUGCAUUUUGAAAGUACUUGAGGUUGUUUUGUAGUAUGAUUUUGGAGUAAAUGUAUACACAUUUUCUGUUUGCUAUAUAGAUGUUGAGACAACAUUAUUUUUUAUAGCCUAAUUAUGGUAAAUCCAAAUAAACUAGAAUGCACUAUAUUACACCAUCUGGAAUCAUAAAAGUAAAUACUUAACCCCUUGUACCAUGGAAAUGUAAUGCUUAAAAAUAGUUCAAUUAGCAUGCUAUAGACCAAUUGAAUUUCGCACAUGAAUUCCAUGUAUGUGGAAUAUUUCCUACUUUCGUAUGAUAAUUAUUGAGAGGGGGUGGUAUUGUCUGGUUAUUUUGAAGUAUGAGUGCUAACACGUAAUGCCUUCUUUUUCAAGAGAUGCAGAGACUAUAACUUGCAUGUGUGGUUAAGUCAAGUGGGGUCUGGUGCUGGUUGUGAUUAUUUAUUUGCAUCCAAACUAAUGGUAGGAUGGCAAAAAAAACACACUCGAUAAAAUUUAAAAAGUUAGGUUGAAGAAAAUGAAAGCUAGGGGAUAGGGAUCAUUUCUGUUAAGUUUCUUUCUAUUUCCUGUGACUAGCCCUUAAUUUGUAUAUAGUGCCUUAACAUUAUUAUUUUAUACACAAAAACAAAAGAGGAUUUAUCCAUAAUGACUCUUUUAAAUAUUCAUAUAAUUAAAAUUCAACGAAAACGAGAAAAUACCGAAUUACAAUUGCUUUUUCUUGUAUGGAUAUAUCAUCAAAGUUACUUCGCUAAUUUUUGUGGCAGUGACUUUUUAUAACAAAAAAUUGCCUUUGAAGGAUAAAUGGUAUUUUUUUUCCUUUGUCUUUGAUGUUAGCAAUCUGAAUUUUUACAUUAAAUUUAUACAGAUUUCAGUAAAUAAUUUAGUGGAAAAUAUGUGUUAAGACAAAAAUUGAGUUUAAAAAAUUAAGAUAAACACUAACUCUUACAUUCUUGUAAUGUAGGGCAAUUGUGUAAUCUUUUGGUAAAGGCACUUCCUUCUACGUGAUUCAGGUACAAGUUCUUCAAAAAUAUUCAUUUGAUACUAAUUUUGUUAUUCUUUCAUGGUGAUUUGUAAAAGACCUUUGUAUAUUUUUCCUUUAAAACUUCAUGUUGAUUUCUCGACUAUUCUAUGUAUUUCAAUUUUUAAAUUUAUAUUGUGAACAGGUUCACAUUCAUAAUUGCAUUUUUAUUAAGAAAUUCAAUGUAUAUGUGAUUAUUUUGCUAGGUUUUUGCUUUUCUGGGAUUUCUUGUACUUUUGUUGGCGUUUUCAAACUAAUGAUUUUGGUUUUUUUUGGCCCCCAAAAUAGCUAUGUAUCCAUAUCUUAACGACGACCUGUAAUAUAGCACCAAAACCUCAUAAAAAUUUUACUUGCUAGCUAGCCAACGUACCUACAUCUUCUCUUUAUAUUUUGGCUUACUAACUUAAAUUAAAUUUUGACCUGUCACUUUAGGCUUCUUUCAAAAAAAAANAGUCGCCCAGA